AGCGAACGUUAGCGGCGGGCUUAACACAUGCAAGUCGAGGGAGAACAGGGCUUCGGCCCCUAGUAAACCGGCGGACGGGUGAGUAACACGUGGGCAAUCUGCCCACCGGCGGGGGAUAACAACCCGAAAGGGUUGCUAAUACCGCAUUCGUCGGCGCUGUCAUAAGACGGCGCCGGGAAAGAUGGCCUCUUCAUGAACGCUAUCACCGGUGGAUGAGCCCGCGUCCCAUCAGCUAGUUGGUGAGGUAAUGGCUCACCAAGGAUACGACGGGUAGCUGGUCUGAGAGGAUGAUCGGCCACACUGGGACUGAGACACGGCCCAGACUCCUACGGGAGGCAGCAGUGGGGAAUAUUGGGCAAUGGGCGCAAGCCUGACCCAGCCACGCCGCGUGAGUGAUGAAGGCCUUCGGGUCGUAAAGCUCUGUGGAAAGGGACGAAUCAAUUGCCGGCUAAUACCCGGCGGUCUUGACGGUACCUUUUUAGCAAGCACCGGCUAACUCCGUGCCAGCCGCCGCGGUAACAC
rnacentral:rRNA from 1 species